UCCCGGGGGGGUGGCCAGCGCCCGCCAGAGGACCAUCAAACUCCAGUCAGUAAACGAUGCAGUCUGAAAAACAUUUAAUAAACUAAAACUUUCAACAACGGAUCUCUUGGUUCUGGCAUCGAUGAAGAACGCAGCGAAAUGCGAUAAGUAAUGUGAAUUGCAGAAUUCAGUGAAUCAUCGAAUCUUUGAACGCACAUUGCGCCCUUUGGUAUUCCGAAGGGCAUGCCUGUUCGAGCGUCAUUACAACCCUCAAGCUCUGCUUGGUAUUGGGCACCGUCCUUUGCGGGCGCGCCUCAAAGACCUCGGCGGUGGCGUCUUGCCUCAAGCGUAGUAGAACAUACAUCUCGCUUCGGAGCGCAGGGCGUCGCCCGCCGGACGAACCUUCUGAACUUUCUCAAGGUGACCUCGAUCAGU
rnacentral:rRNA from 1 species